UACGGGGGGUGCAAGCGUUGUCCGGAAUCAUUGGGCGUAAAGAGUUCGUAGGCGGUUUGGUAAGUUAGAUGUUAAAGGCGCAGGCUCAACUUGUGUAUGGCAUCUGAUACUGUCAGACUGGAAUUCGGUAGAGGUAAAGGGAAUUUCUGGUGUAGCGGUGAAAUGCUUAGAUAUCAGGAAGAACAUCGGUGGCGUAAGCGCUUUACUGGGCCGUAAUUGACGCUGAGGAACGAAAGCCGGGGUAGCAAAU
rnacentral:rRNA from 1 species